rnacentral:lncRNA from 1 species
CAUUGAACUUUAUUUUGAAGAUCUAUUUUAGCCCAAUUGCAUCUUUUCCUAUUGGAAGAUCAACCAAAUCCCAAGUCUGAUUCUUUUCAAUACUUUCAAUCUCCUUAUUCAUGGCUUCUCUCCAAACUUCUUCUCUUUCAACUUCUUCAAAACUCUGUGGUUUUCCAGCAAAUAAAACAAAGUUACUAGAAGCAUAAAUAUCAGUCAAAGAACGAUACCUCCUAGGAGAAUCUGAGUCCAAAUCAUGAUUAGAAGAAGAUGCACCAACUUCUUGUUGUUCAUUCGGGGCUUCU